GGGAGGAGGGGGAAGACUUAAAAUGAUGACUUGGUUGUUUUGUCUUUUUUUCUGUGUGUGUGUGUGUGUGUGUGUGUGUGUGUUUCAUGAUGGCGAGUGAGUGAAGCGACGCGCCCCCGGACGUAUGCUCCCCAUUAGUUAGUUAGUGUCAUGACGGAAGGAAAGACAGUAAAGGUGACGGUUUGGUAGCUUCGCCGCUGUUUCGUGUUUUGUGUGUCUAGGCGGAAGGCAGAAAAGACAGUAAAAGUGACGGUUUUGUUGUUUCGUCGCUGUUUUUAGUGUUGUGUGUUUGGACGGAAGGCAGAAAAGACAGUAAAAGUGACGGUUUUGUUGUUUCGUCGCUGUUUUUAGUGUUGUGUGUUUGGACGGAAGGCAGAAAAGACAGUAAAAGUGACGGUUUGGUUGUUUCGUCGCUGUUUUUAGUGUUGUGUGUUUGGACGGAAGGCAGAAAAGACAGGAAAGGUGACGGUUUGGUUGUUUCGUCGCUGUUUUUAGUGUUGUGUGUUUAGACGGAAGGCAGAAAAGACAGUAAAGGUGACGGUUUUGUUGUUUCGUCGCUGUUUUUAGUGUUGUGUGUUUGGACGGAAGGCAGAAAAGACAGUAAAGGUGACGGUUUGGUGGUUUCGUCGCUGUUUUUAGUGUUGUGUGUUUAGACGGAAGGCAGAAAAGACGAAAAAUGACGGUUUUAUAGUUAUGUCGCUGAUUUUAGUGUUUUGUGUUUAGACGGAAGGAAGAAAAGACAGUAUAGGAGACGGCUUGAAUGUAUCGUCGCUGUUUUUAGUUUUGUGUGUUUGGACGGAAGGCAGAAAAGUAAAGAUUUUUUUUUUCUUUUUUUCUAGAGGGAAGGAAAGAAAACUAAAGAUGACAGUUUGAUUCUUUUCUUGCUGUUGAGUAUUUGUGUGUGCAGAUGGAAAGAAAAAGAAGAAGGGAAGAUACUAAUUAUUAUAUUUAUUCAAGGCCAGCAAUCUUUGUAUUCCCUUUUAUAAGAAGUUGAUUUUUCACUCGUGUUACAUGCCUGUGAGAGAGAGAGAGAGAGAGAGAGAGAGAGAGAGAGAGAGAGAGAGUAGCGGCAUAAAGAAUAAUAUUGGACGUUAAAAAAAACAAAUUAAUGUAAUGCAAAAGGUGUAUAAACGAAAGAGAAGUAGUGAAAGAAAAAAAAAGGAAAACUGUGAAAUGCAUGAUGAAGAGAGAGAGAGAGAGAGAGAGAGAGAGAGAGAGAGAGAGAGAGAGAGAGAGAGAGAGAGAG